GGCGGAUCUAGAGAAAUAUAUAG
rnacentral:snRNA from 1 species